AUCAUGGAAAUGUCUUUCAGAGUUCUGUGACAUGCAUGGGGUAGCUUGGAGGUGGAUGUGAUGGCAGUUUGAUAUUAAGGCGCCUGAUGUGACAGCUGUGGCAGAGCAAGUGGCCCUCUAGGGGGUAACAACGAUGGCCUUCCUCAUCAUUGAGCUGCAAGCCACAGUCCUGGAAGGAAGAGAGACAUCCCAGAUCAGUGAGGAAUUCAGGCAGGCCUCUCCCAGCCCUGCUGCCCUGUCCUGCACAGCCCCUGGAGCUCCCUCCCACCUCCAAGGCCAGCAGCCUCCACAGCUCCUGGCACACUGACACUACUGAAAUCCAGGACAGGCUGUAGUAGUGUCCAGCCUUUUUUCACCACUCUUUCCCAUUCUGGUCUCUUCUCCAUCUAAUAAAUGGUGAUGCAAAUCAAAAGCCAGAAGGAAGGCCAGGGGCUGCCCCUGACAAAUACAGCCUGGAAGAGGCUUGAACAGAGGGGGAGCUGAUCCUGCAGCAAGGCAGCAAGCCAGAUGUGGGGGAGCAUAAGCAGAGAAUGAGAGGGGAGGGAAAAGUGGGGAGAGGAGACAUAUCUUACUUCUGGAGCACGUCUACACUUGCUCUAAUUUGGAAUUAAAAGAACUUAAAGACUUCAAGGCCAGUGGUCCAUCCUUAGUGGAAAUGCUGGUACCUCUGGGACUGACACAUAACCACAGAGAGAGACAAACAGAAAACAGCUAACAGUGAUCCUGCCUGCUGACUCUUAUGUACACUGCAAUAGGGACCAUCCUGAUUUCCAACUGCCAGCACUUAGUUCUGAGGGCAUUUGGAAAUCAUUGAAGUUUGGUACUCAGAUUUAAUGUUUCAAGUAUGCUAAAUACUUAGAAAUUAUUAUUGUGAUCAGUUCUGAGAAACCAGAUUCUGCGUAUUUAUCUGUGCACUUAACAGAAAGAAAUAAAAAGCCAAACAGAACAAACUGGGUAUAUAGGUGGUUUUAGUACUGAAAACAAAUGCAAAGGUUUUAAGUGAACACAAAGCAUAAUUUUCCAGGUUUCACAGCUCAAGUUUAAAUCCUCAAAAUUUACCAUACUGAAAUAAGACUGAAAAUGGGUUUUAAACUAAGCUUUAAAACUGGAGAGUUAGAGAGGUCUUAAUCAAAGUAUCUGCCAAGGUAAUUUUCUGUGUGUUGCUAUAUAUUAUGUAAUGGUUUUAUAGCAAUUUCUACUAUUUCUACAUAAAAUUAGAAUUUAUCCGUUUCAGAUGCCCUACAGAUGUGCCAAGUGUUCAUAUCUUCUUCCCUCUUCAAAACUGAAUUCUCUUUCUGCAAGGAGAAAGCCUGUCUUGUCAGUGGAUUCCAGUUUCAGAAUGGGGCUCCAGAGAUCUGCAGAGGGGCUUGAACUCCUCUACAGAAAUCCAGUGGCUGCACGUGAGAGAGAUGACACAGAAAAGCUGCAAAGUUUCCAACCUGACCACUGACUCUGUGUGGCCACCAGUCAGAAGAUUCUUCAUAAAACCUUCAUGCCUGAAGGCAGCACUGCUGUAUUUCUGCCCCUGGUGUUAACAGUUCCAGGUGUGGUUAGAGCACCAGAUAUGCUGUGGACUGUGUCUGAGAGAAGCUGUGGGCAAGUCAGCACCUGCACUGCUAGACUGGAACUAACCUAGGAAAUCUCCCAGGGAAAGAAUAUGGAGUGUGUCCUGCUAGUCAUCAGCACUCGAUUAUUAACAACCCUCAUGGAUCCUGUGUGUGCAGUGGGAGAGGAGUUGUGACUUGCUCCAGGCUGCAGACAAGGCAGAAGAGCCUCUUCAUUGCCUCUCAGCACACCAGGAGCCUCCCGGGGUGGGCUCCCAGCAUGGCUAGGAGGGAGAAGCUCUGGUCCCCCAGUGAGCAGGUAACUGAGAGAGGAGAAGGUUUUGCUACAUAGGCUCAGAGCCUUUCUUAUUACUGACUGAGUCAGAGGAGUAAAAAGAGCUUUUGAGCACAGCAGCCCCCAUUCCCAAUCUGGAGACAUGAAAAACAGGCUGAGGUGAAGCAGUGAGGCGACACAGGCUGAUAGGCAAGACCCUCAUGGAGCAGCCAAAUCUUGGCUCUGGUUCUGUUCCUGUGGCAUCCACAGGCACAGCUUCAUUCAGGAUCUAAGCAAUGUGGGGCACAAUUCCAGCCUUCCUCUACAAGGGUUCCCUCUGUGCCAGGUUCUUAAAAAAGUAUUUGGUUGGCAGAGCAGUAAAGUGAUGUAAAUACAACCAGUGUCAGUCUGGAUGGGAACAGUCAGAAGUCUAUGGACACUCUAUCCACAACAAAUGGGAAGUAUCAUUUUGAACUCUCCCUAAUAUUCAUUACAGAUACUCCUUGAGCACAUAUAAAAACACUGAGAGAAGUUGUUAUUAAAAGAUCAGCUCUGAAAUUCAAAGCUGAAAAUGAAGUGUUACCCUUUAGUCUCCCUUCUGUGAGUCAGGGGUACAGUGCUGGAUACACCAGGUUGCAAAACAAAAAAAAACAAAAAAAAACCAACAAAGUGGAAGUUGAAGAGCUGGCAUAUUAUUUUUCCUGAUUUCUUAAGUCUGGUCUCAACUGUUUUCUCCCUUAUUUACCUUGUCCUUGUAUUCUCUUAAUAAAAUCUCAUUUUAUAUACACAAAUGAAGACUUUGUAAUUAAGCUCUUCAAUGAUACUUAUAUAAAAUAAGAGUCUGGGAAGCUAAAUAAACAUUGAGAAAUAUGUUAAUUAUGUUAGAAUAGCAGAGUAAAAAUAAAGUAGAAGACUUGGCUGGCUGAACUUUUCUUUUCUUUGCUGUUCAAUAUACUUUGAUUAUCAAACAGGCAAAAAACCCCAAAACAACAAAAAACCUCUAAUGAUCCUGUCCAAGAGUCUUUGUUUCAAUGUAAGAGGAAAACAAGACCCCUUCUGUCCUGACUAUUUAGGCCUGUUUGUAUCCUCCUGUGAUAAUCUUGGGAUUUAUAACUCUU